rnacentral:rRNA from 1 species
UGAGGAAUCUUGCGCAAUGGGGGAAACCCUGACGCAGCAACGCCGCGUGAGGGACGAAGGCCUUCGGGUCGUAAACCUCUUUUCUGGGGGACGAGUAAGGACGGUACUCCAGGAAUAAGUCUCGGCUAACUACGUGCCAGCAGCCGCGGUAAAACGUAGGAGGCGAGCGUUAUCCGGAUUUACUGGGCGUAAAGCGUACGCAGGUGGCUUCGUUAGUCGGACAUGAAAGCUCCUGGCUUAACUGGGAGAGGUUGUUCGAUACUGCGGGGCUUGAGGUUGGGAGAGGGACGUGGAAUUCCCGGUGUAGUGGUGGAAUGCGUAGAUAUCGGGAGGAACACCAGUGGCGCAAGCGGCGUCCUGGCCCACACCUGACGCUGAGGUACGAAAGCGUGGGUAGCAAACAG